rnacentral:rRNA from 1 species
GACGAGCCUCACAAACGUUAUUCGGAAUCACUGGGCUUAAAGGGUGCGUAGGCGGUGUGGAUAGUCGGGUGUGAAAUACCUCAGCUUAACUGGGGAACUGCACUCGAUACUUCCAUGCUAGAGUAAGACAGAGGUGAGUGGAACUGAGGGUGGAGCGGUGAAAUGCGUUGAUAUCCUCAGGAACACCGGUGGCGAAGGCGAACUCACUGGGUCUUUACUGACGCUGAUGCACGAAAGCUAGGGGUAGCAAACGGG